rnacentral:rRNA from 1 species
GUGACUCGUGGCCAGCGGGCGCGGACACACGGGGGAUCCAAGCGGUUACCGGAAUUACGGGGCGUAAAGAGUUGCGUAGGUGGCAGCGGAAGUCAGUAGGGAAAUCCUGGGGCUCAACCCCUUACACAUUAUCGAAACUGCGAAGCUAGAGGACGAGAGAGGUACCUGGAAUUCCUAGUGUAGGAGUGAAAUCCGUAGAUAGUAGGAGGAACACCGAUGGCGUAGGCAGGGUACUGGCUUGUUCCUGACACUAAGGCACGAAAGCGUGGGGAGCAAACGGGAUUAGAUACCCUGGUAGUC